CGCUAGCUACAGGCUUAACACAUGCAAGUCGAGGGGCAGCAUGGUCUUAGCUUGCUAAGGCCGAUGGCGACCGGCGCACGGGUGAGUAACACGUAUCCAACCUGCCGUCUACUCUUGGACAGCCUUCUGAAAGGAAGAUUAAUACAAGAUGGCAUCAUGAGUCCGCAUGUUCACAUGAUUAAAGGUAUUCCGGUAGACGAUGGGGAUGCGUUCCAUUAGAUAGUAGGCGGGGUAACGGCCCACCUAGUCUUCGAUGGAUAGGGGUUCUGAGAGGAAGGUCCCCCACAUUGGAACUGAGACACGGUCCAAACUCCUACGGGAGGCAGCAGUGAGGAAUAUUGGUCAAUGGGCGAGAGCCUGAACCAGCCAAGUAGCGUGAAGGAUGACUGCCCUAUGGGUUGUAAACUUCUUUUAUAAAGGAAUAAAGUCGGGUAUGCAUACCCGUUUGCAUGUACUUUAUGAAUAAGGAUCGGCUAACUCCGUGCCAGCAGCCGCGGUAAUACGGAGGAUCCGAGCGUUAUCCGGAUUUAUUGGGUUUAAAGGGAGCGUAGAUGGAUGUUUAAGUCAGUUGUGAAAGUUUGCGGCUCAACCGUAAAAUUGCAGUUGAUACUGGAUAUCUUGAGUGCAGUUGAGGCAGGCGGAAUUCGUGGUGUAGCGGUGAAAUGCUUAGAUAUCACGAAGAACUCCGAUUGCGAAGGCAGCCUGCUAAGCUGCAACUGACAUUGAGGCUCGAAAGUGUGGGUAUCAAACAGGAUUAGAUACCCUGGUAGUCCACACGGUAAACGAUGAAUACUCGCUGUUUGCGAUAUACUGCAAGCGGCCAAGCGAAAGCGUUAAGUAUUCCACCUGGGGAGUACGCCGGCAACGGUGAAACUCAAAGGAAUUGACGGGGGCCCGCACAAGCGGAGGAACAUGUGGUUUAAUUCGAUGAUACGCGAGGAACCUUACCCGGGCUUAAAUUGCAGAUGAAUUACGGUGAAAGCCGUAAGCCGCAAGGCAUCUGUGAAGGUGCUGCAUGGUUGUCGUCAGCUCGUGCCGUGAGGUGUCGGCUUAAGUGCCAUAACGAGCGCAACCCUUGUUGUCAGUUACUAACAGGUUCCGCUGAGGACUCUGACAAGACUGCCAUCGUAAGAUGUGAGGAAGGUGGGGAUGACGUCAAAUCAGCACGGCCCUUACGUCCGGGGCUACACACGUGUUACAAUGGGGGGUACAGAGGGCCGCUACCACGCGAGUGGAUGCCAAUCCCCAAAACCUCUCUCAGUUCGGACUGGAGUCUGCAACCCGACUCCACGAAGCUGGAUUCGCUAGUAAUCGCGCAUCAGCCACGGCGCGGUGAAUACGUUCCCGGGCCUUGUACACACCGCCCGUCAAGCCAUGGGAGCCGGGGGUACCUGAAGUGCGUAACCGCGAGGAGCGCCCUAGGGUAAAACUGGAGA
rnacentral:rRNA from 1 species